UUCGGUCGGGAAAAAAUGCGCCGUAGCAAGCACUGCUAUGCCGACAGUUGAAUAGAAUUUAAGUUCACACGCUUCAGUGAACUAUGCCAAGAACCUCUAGAGAAACACCCUAAACAAUGCAACACUCUAAGGCGCUCUCAGCGGCCCGGCAAAGUGAAUGUCCAGCGAAGCUCUCGCAAAACCAGCACUAAUGGCUGAAGGAGCUCUUCGUCCCAUGUCCUGUGAACAACUCGUGUCCGAAAUACGAGAAACGCAAUGAGUCGGCAGCCACGGAGACUCAACGUCGUUUUUCAGUGGCUGCCGGGUCCCUGAGGCAUCUCCGACAACGACCUCGUCGACGAAGCUGCAAGGAAAGCACACGAAGGAGCAAACUGUGUUUCUCUGCUUUUAUCGAAGGCUGACUGACAUUGGAGAAGUGACACUGAACUGAAUUUGCCCACUAUUAGUUGCAUUCUCUCGACCCGUCUAUGCAACUGCGCCUGCUACCUGAGCUUCUGUGAAGCGAGAAAACAAUGCUGCGUCGUUUACACCUGGGCAUUGCAUUCACCAUUGCAUAUACAUGUUUGAUUCGAAUAGCCGAUAGAGCCAAGUGAUAUGCCUAUGGUGUCGAAGAGGCUAUAAAACACUUCCUGUGCUAUUGCCUAGCCUUUCAAAAUAAGACAUGACCGCUGCACAGCUACAUAAAUCACAACUAUUAUACAAAAUUUCGUUGUUAUCGUGCAACAUUAGGCAGCAUUGUAUAACCAGACUUUGUCUACUGGCUACGUUCCUUUUCAUUCGUUGCACUAUUAGCCAAUACUCAAUGCGUAGAAAGUAUUUAUCUGCUACGCACUAUUCUUUCCUAUUUUUGCUAUUUACCGCUGACGAAAGUUGUGUAAUUGGAAAGCUUUUUUUCUUCUUCUUACUCAAUGGAUUCUGUCUGUCUGCGAUCCUCCACAUACUCCCUCUGUAAUGCCUUAGGGCCAAGUGGGCAUAAAUAAAUAAGUACUUAUUAAAAACGAGUAUACAUUUAUAGACAAACAAGUAAAUAAAUAUAGAUAUAAAGAUUGUA